UGGGGAAUAUUGGACAAUGGGCGAAAGCCUGAUCCAGCAAUGCCGCGUGAGUGAUGAAGGCCUUAGGGUUGUAAAGCUCUUUUACCCGGGAAGAUAAUGACUGUACCGGGAGAAUAAGCUCCGGCUAACUCCGUGCCAGCAGCCGCGGUAAUACGGGGGGAGCUAGCGUUGUUCGGAAUUACUGGGCGUAAAGCGCACGUAGGCGGCUAUUCAAGUCAGAGGUGAAAGCCCGGGGCUCAACCCCGGAACUGCCUUUGAUACAGCAAGUCUUGAGUCCGAUAGAGGUGAGUGGAAUUCCUAGUGUAGAGGUGAAAUUCGUAGAUAUUAGGAAGAACACCGGUGGCGAAGGCGGCUCACUGGAUCGGUACUGACGCUGAGGUGCGAAAGCGUGGGGAGCAAACAGGAUUAGAUACCCACGUAGUCCCUGAGCGGGCUGGCAAGGCGCAU
rnacentral:rRNA from 1 species